rnacentral:lncRNA from 1 species
UUCUGAACGAUCGGGCCGACUCGUGGGGGUCCUGAUGCUUCUGAACAUUGAAGGCCUUUCUGAAUGUUCGGGCCGACUCGUGGGGGUCCUGAUGCUUCCUGAAUGAUCGGGUCUACUCGUGGGGGUCCUGAUGCUUCUGAACAUUGAAGGACUAUCUGAAUGUUCGGGCCGACUCGUGGUAGUUCCUUGGGUGCUGAUGCUUCUGAACGUUGAAGGACUUUCUGAAUGAUCGGGCUGACUCGUGGCAAUCCCUUGGGUGCUGAUGCUUCUGAACAUUGACUGCAAUCAAUUGCAGGUCAAUACAAGUUUUAUAAAUAGGCAAUUAAUUUCAAAAAUUAAAAUCUUCAAUUAGUAUAUAGGUGAAUGUUUUUUUAGUGCGUUAUAUUUUGAAUUAAGUGUCAACCCCCUUGUUUUGGGCUUAGAGGGCUUUGUUUCGCCUUCGGCUUCAACUACUUUUGCUUCGAAUAGAUGGCACCCAUUAUACGAGAUAAAAAAAAGACAUUCAAUUCUAUAUUUUAAAAAAAUACUAAAAGAUACUCCUACUAAUAAAUAUAUAACAUUUUCUCAUAUUUUUCUUUAGUUUUCCAAUAAUACUCUUGCAACAAUCUAAAAAAAUUAAUUAAUUAAUCUAUAAAAAAAGUUAAUUAGCAAAUUACCAAUAAUUAUCUGUCUAAAGAAAUUGAUAUUUUUCAGACACUUGCAAUAAUCUCUAAUAAAUAUUUAUAAAUAAAUAAAUUACCAACUUAAAGCUACAUUUAAUAUCUUGUUAAUAAUUGUAAAAAAAAUUAUAUUACCUAAUUAAUCCUAAAAGUAAAAUAAUAAAAAAAUUUAUUUUACUUUUAAUGUUAAUUUUUAUUUUACUUUUAAUGUUAAUUUAAUAAAUUAACUUUUUUUUUCUUUUCGUUAGCAUCACCAAAAAUAUUAUUGCAUGGAUAUUAUCAUUAAAAAUAAGGAAAAGAUAAGGGUAUACUAGUAACAGUAUUUUAAGAUUUUUUUUUUAAAUAUAAGAGCUAAAUAGACACCUAAUAUCAAAAUAUAGAGACAAAACUAAUAUUUACUCAUAAUAAUAAUAUAAUAAUAAUAAAUACCUGAUGAUUGGGUAAAGGUUUCUUCCUCAAAGACUCAAGCAACGAAAAAUUAUCCACAAAAUGCGAACGGCCAUGAUUGUGAUCGUGACGCCCUUUAUCGCAGAAACAUUCCAGGCAGAUACUGUAAGCAGCUGUCUGGGGUUCAAAGCAGCUCAUGCAAGUGAAAUACUCAUUGGUUAUGAAGAUUUUGCACUGGCCGCAAAUUGGCCUUCCACUUUUCAGUAUAUAGUAGAGAGUCAACACUUCCUUAAAAUCUAAACCUCCGCUUCUAUCGAUGUCUAGUUGAUUGAAGAAGUCACGAGUACGCAUGUUCUCAUCGUGUGCUUUCUGCGACAUGAAAUCUGAAAACUCCCUGUAACUCACCCUACCGUUUCCAUCUUUAUCCAUUGAUUGGAAAAAUUGGUUGAAUAAACGUCUUUCUUCAUCGGUUCCAGAAUUAUAAUAGGCUAAAGCAACCUUUCUCAACGCCUCCAUUGCAGUUUCUUUUAUGGCUUAAUUUGCCAGAGAUUGUGAGGAGUGAAGACCUUCUUAUAUAUUUUUUCUCCAUAUGUUAUGUUAUUAUGCUAAUUGUUUAGUCUUAGGGAAAAUUAUUAAAACCUCCUCACCCGCCGCCCCCCCUUCAUGUUUCAGUAAAUUAACCUCUUCUCUUUCAUAUUUCAAAACCUAUAAAAAAAAACCUCAGUUAUUAACAGUUUCUCUUAACUUCAGACUUAUGAUUGAUUUUUUAAUGGAUAAUUAAUUGCUGAAAUUAAUAAAAAGUAAUCAUACAUCGGAUUUUAAGGGUACAUUAGUAAAAUACAAAAAAGUUGAAAGUAAUUUUUUCUAAUUAUAAGAAAACUUUGAUGAAUUUCAGAACAAGAGGAAAAAAUGAUUAAUUUUAACAAACAACAGAGGGGGUAAUCAUUUUCCAUUUUAUAUUUCUCCAACUUUCAUGUAUGCCUGGUUUUUUCAACACGGGAAGAUUCUCAACUACUUAUUGAAGCAGCCAAGUGUAUGUGCAUGUCUGCAUGAUUGAAACAAAUCUUCUUGACCCCAGAAUACUGCAAUUAAAUUCUUUUAAUUAAUUUUUUAAGAUACGCUAAUAGUCAUGUAUUUGGUAGCGAGUCUGCAUAGAAGAAUAUGAUAAACAUAUUGUUGUUUCCUUAAUUAAUAGUAAUUAAUCGUGGAUUAAGAAGUGGUGAACUAUAUGAUGACGAUAUAUUUGUGACAUAAAUAGAAGAUGCAUGCCCCGAGAGAAUUCAACUUUCAUUUUUAAUCAAUCAAUUAAAUUAGCAUUUUUGGCAUUGUACACACCAAAGGGAAAUGAUAGUCAAAUUUUAAAGGUUUCAAGAAGCAAAGAGGAGAAACUGGAGAGUCUUCACAUUUGUUGGUAUUAACGGGUUUUGUAACAUUAUAACAAAGAAUUUCUUUUGUUAUAGGCUACGGUGCAUAUUAUACUUAUAGUAUAUAAGUUGUUAUCGCUACAAUGUGGGGACUUGAACAAAAAGCCAAAAUGGUUUAUCUUGGACGUCGAUGAUAACUAUAACUACUCUGAUCUUCUAGCUAAUUAUAAAAGUUUAAAGGAGGUGAAGAUCCAUUUCCAAGAGUCGAGUAGUGAAUCGACAAUUGCAUUGCAAUUUCCAUCGCCAGCAAAAUUUAAAUCUUUCUACACAACAUGAAAAGUAUAGUUAUGUAACAUAACUUCAAUGACAAAGGGAGAGGUUGGCCACAAAUUAUAAAAAGAUGUACAACUAAUUUUGACAUUCACCCGAUUAAAGAAAAAACUUAUGUUGUAAUUGUACCGGUGGCUACCAAUCGGUUUCAUCAUUAAAAUAGAGUGUCUUGACAAAAUGCUUAUGAGCGUGUCUCAUUAUAUCCCCCGAAUGGCGAGUUGUCGAAAAAACGCCAAGGCGUAAUUCAUUAUACGUUAACGACCUAGGUCCUUAGAAAACUUCUAAGUAAAGCGCCCAAAAGGCGAGCUUUGGACAAAACGCCAAGUGCAUGACUUGAAAAAAAAAAUGACCUAGGUCAAUUUCCACAAAAAUGACCUGACCUAGGUCCUUAGAAGAAAAUUCUAAGUAAAGUGCCCAAAAGGUGAGUUUUCGAUAAAAUGCCAAGAGCGUGACUUAAAAUAAAAUGACCUAGGUCAAUUUUUACAUAAAUGACCUAAGUCCUUAGAAGAAAAUUCUAAGUAAGAUACCCAAAGGCUGAGUCUUCAACAAAACGUCAAGGGCGUGACUUCAAAAAAAAAUGACCUAGGUCAAUUUUCAUAUAAAUGACCUAGGUCCUUAGAAGAAGUUUCUAAGUAAAACACCCAAAAGGCGAGUUUUCGACAAAACGCCGAGGGCGUGACUUAAAUAAAAUGACACAGGUCAAAUUUAACGAAAGUGACCUAGGUCCUUAGAAGAAAUUUCUAAAUACAACGCCCAAAAGGUAAAUUUUUAACAAAAUGCUAACGGCAUGACUUAAAAAAAAUGACCUACAUCAAUUUUCACGAAAAAUGAUUGGUCCUUAGAAGAAAUGUUUAAAUAAAGCGCUCAAAAGGUGAGCCUUCGACAAAACACUGAGGGCAUGACUUACAAAAAAAAAAAUUAUUGAGGUCAAUUUUCACAAAAGUGAUCUAGAUCCUUAGAAGAAAUUUCUAAAUAAAACACCAAGGGCGUGACUUAAAAAAAAAAAAAAGACCUAUGUCAAUUUUCACAUAAAUGACCUAGGUCCUUAGAAGAAAAUUCUAAGUAAGACACCCAAAGUUGAGUCUUUGACAAAACGCCAAGGGCGUGACUUUAAAAAAAAAUGGGGCUACUGCUCCUCGGAACUGCUCAGCCAACUCUUGGCAUAUCUGCUCGUAUCCUUUUAUACUUCCUCGUGGCAGCUUGUGGUACUAUUCCUGGGCUCGUGCCUCUAGUGUCAAUGGGAACACCCUGCACCUCUGAGCUGGUGUUAGCCCCUGCACACCCGUCAUGUCGUUGAAACGUUCAAUAUGCACCAGCGGGUCACUUCUCCCGGAGUAUUUGAGGUCGGGGAAGCGGAAAUCUCUUGGGAUUACAGUAACCAUGAUCUCGGCUGAUAACGGAGAUUCUUCAUCUAGCAUUAUCCUCCAACUCGGGGGUUUUCUCUUGCUCUGAAUCUCAUCCAUCACCUGCGCCAACCUGCGCACCUCACCCUCCAAUUCUACAGCACGGUCAGGAUCGAGCGCAGCUAUCUGAUCUCGCUCUUGCUCGGCAUUCUGCAGCCGCUGUCUGAGCUCUCCUUCAUCAAUAUUAGCUCCUCGGUCAUCAAUUUUCAGUACUCAUUCGGAGCGAGGUUGGUCUCUCCCUUCAUCUCGCGCUCUCCUGGGAUCCGGCCAGUAUUUCUAUGGGGAUGCACCCCAUAGGGUUGGUCUACCGGUGGAGGGAUUUUCUCGAUUCUACGCCUCCGGAGGCUGGGUUCUGCCACAACUUCAUCUCUCCCCAUGGUGGUUUCACAGUCCCUUCUCCGCUUAUCCCUCAGCUCAUGCAAUAUGGCCGUGAGAGUCUCCAUUUGCUUCUCCAUCCGUUCCAUUCGAUCUUGCAUCACCCUAUCUCUAGCUUCAUUUGCUAUUUCUCGGAGAGUGAUUGUUUCACCAGUUUCAUUGUCGCCCCUUAGGGCAUCCUUCCUUGAUAUAUUCAUAACCGAUCGUUCACUACUUCUCCGAUGACUACUAACUUGGUGGUAGCUUUUUAUCCAGCUCCCCACAGACGGCGCCAAAAUGUUGAUGUUGAAAUCUGCUCGCCUUUUGCCCGACCAGAUCUUUCCACCAACGCUUAUGUGGUCAGGAGAGAAGACGUCAUUUUCUUCUUGUUCCAACAAUUACCUAAGUCACUGGGUUGGAAUCACCCUUCAUUCUCUUACUAAGCCUGCGUUCAAAAAAAUGGAUCAGAAACGCAAGUGGUUUUACCGGUGUAAACCCUCCGAUGCCUAAGUCAGCACAAGGUAUUUACGAGAAAACGGUGCAAUUUAGAUUCUGUAAUUGCUUAUAAUUUGCUCAAAGUUUGUAUAGAAAAUAGUCUGGUUUCAAUUUGGCAGAGUUUUCCCUUCUUUCAAUUUUUUAUGUCCCCUUCUUUCAUUGGUUUUUCCCUUUCUUAUAGCCGUUGUCCCACGUUUCUGUACACUUCUCAUACUCCCCCUUUAUCGGGUAAUGACUGCCCCUUAUGGGUCUCCAACCACUGGAUUGUGGGUAAACGUGGGAUACCAUGUCCCUCUCAACGGUUCGGGGCGUAGCGAAACUGUGGCGACUUCGUGAGAUCGUGUGCCCUUUCUUUGGUGAUGAGUAUCUGGUCGGUAUGUGUUCCUAGUCAGUAUAUUUCUCAGGUUGGUAUACGUCUCUGGUUGUACUCUUAUCGUGCCAUUUAGCUGAGGAUAUUUGCCUCGGGGUGGGAGAUGAGGGCAUGGCCGAGCUGGUACUUUUCAAUUCUUAACAAUAUGAGAACCUCUAAACUCUUAAGUUGCAAUAGAAAGUUAAAAAAGAAAAAAGGCUUAAGGUUAUUCUUAAUUGCAAUUUAAUUGCUUGCCCACAGAGCACUAUGUAUAAGAGUUAUAACCCUAAUCAGGAUUCAGAUUUUGUCAGCUUUUUGUUUUAGUUCCAGAGAGAGUUCAUUAAUUUUCCAUUGUUUCUUUUGUGGUCCCAAAGCCAACUUUCGGUGAUGGAGUUCUAUGAUAGUCUUUGUUGGUAUAGUUUCUGAAAUGAAAUAUAUUGUGUUGUGGAUUUUGGUGUUAUUUGGUGUUUAAGUAGUUAUAUUUCUAUAUUUUGAGUACUAAAAAAGAAAAAAAUUGUUUAUAUUGUGAUUUUGGUUGUCGGAAUCAUUGGGUUUUAGUUUAUGCGAUUCCCCAUCUUCCUCAUCUAUUUCAAGAGAUCCAUGACUUUGUUCUAUCUCCUUCUGCAAUCGCCAAAUAACCUAGAAAUGGCAUGCUUGAUUUUUUUUUUAAUUUCGGGUAUUCAGUAUAUCUAUCAGCGUUUGGAAUCCGAAAGCCAAAAAUCAGAUUUCUUCGGGUUGAGCUCGUACAGGAUCAGGAGCCUAAAAAUGGGGUUUAUAUCCAAAUUCGGUAUGUUAAUUAUCAUUCGGGACUAGAACCAGAAAGCCUAAACCCGGAUCCGAAUUUUACCAUCCCUAUCUACAUGAAAAAAAAGGGCGCCCACACAUGAGAAUGGUAAUAUAUACACAAAUAUAUACGAAUGCAUACAUAUAUAUAGUUCUUUACUAAUGUGAGUGCCUUUAUUUUUUUUCAUCUAACACGUCAUUAACCAUGCAAUUUAAUAAAGUUAUUUUAAUUAACUAUUGAACACAUAGUUUAAUAGUAUGUCCACAAAAUAGGGUGUCUGCAUAUUAGAUCAUUAAUAAUCAAAGAAAAAAUUUAAUAUGGAAUCAUAUGAAGUGAUUUUUAAGAUUGACAGUGAGAUUCAUUCUUCUAAAUUAUUGCUUGACGCGUCACGUUAAAGGAUAUGUCGAUGACUAUGUAGAUGAGUCUGAAAACUUUGAUGAUGAGACCGAAAAGUUUUAGCUUUGAAAUUUGUAGAGGAUGUUAGUGCUAACACAUAUAAGAGAUCGAAUGCCUUCGCACUCCAACUAUACAUUAGUGUGUGCCGCCUCUUUAGCAAUAGAAGUUGAAUGUCAACUUUGGGAAGAAUUUGAAAAGCAUUGGAUAAAAUUGCGAAGAAAUUCAUUGACAAUGCAACUGGAAAAUUGCCUGAGAACAUGGCCAGAAAUGUCUAUAAGAAGGUAAUUGGACAUGUCCAUGACAACAUGAGAUUUCAAAUGUCGAUGAGGAAGUAAUUAGAGACGUCUAAAAUUGCAAAGGAAGGGGUAAAAUCUAAUCUUGAUUUGAGCAUUGAUUUUAACAGUAUGGUUGUUACGGUUCUAUCAAUAUCUAUAUUGAAGCAAGAGAAUUGUUCUAGAAGAAGACCUUAAGGUAAAUAUUAAGUUAGGUGACAACAGAUUGAGCAAGAUUUACAGAAAGACUCAAGAGGCUUCUAAGUGAUUCUUGAGUCCAAUACGACCUUAUUGCAUUUUUUUUUCAUUUUGUUAAACAACAGAAGAUUCUCUCCUUUCCCGUCGCUUUGGAUAAUUCAGACGUUGAUUAUUGACGAUAAAGUCCUUAAUAAAAUGCUUUUGAUCAAAUUUCAUCUUUUGAUCAAGAAUAUACAAACAACUACAGUUUGACUUUGUUUGUUUAAUUAAUUUGGUCUCUAACUAGUUAUUCAUUCUCCUUUCUAUUUUUAUUUGAAUAAUUGAUUUAAUAUUGCAGCAUUUUUUGGUUUAGAGCAUAGAAAUAAAAAGGCAUCUCGAUGAAAAUGAUAGAAAUUAAUUAAUUACCAUAUAGGUUUGUUAUUAGUUGUAGGGGUAGAGCUCAGAGUAAAUCUCGAGGGAGCUAAAUUCAAACAAGUAGCAAUAGGGGAUGGAUUUUAGAUGGUUUUUUCAUCUAUAGCUAUGGUGUAAUCCUGAAAAUUUAUAAAUUUUGCUUGUAACUGUAGUAAUUUUAAUUUGGAGAUUUUGAUUAAUAAUUGAGGCUAGUGUUACAAAUAAAGAAUAAAAUAAAAAAGUAAUUAACAAAAUAAAGAUCAAAGAGAUAGGUCUUAACUUCAUCAAAAUUUUAAAAAGCUAUUUGCUAUUUUAUUAGGAUGAAAAAGGAAAUACCAAAAUAAAGAUCAAACCCUUUAAAAAAAAAUAAUAGAUAAAUAUCAAACAAUUAGGCAACUUCAACUUUGUUUCACAAAAUAUAAAGCUCCAUUUUCAUCAUAUAUAUAAAGUUUACAAAUUAAUUGUGUAGGGGCCAAAUCAGUAUUUUUUUAUAUUUCCUUUAAAAAUUUCAAAAUUUUUUUAAAGCUUGCAGGUGCCUUGUCACUGCUAGUCUUAAGCACCCUCUGCUCCUAAUCAGAUGGAAAUUAUAAGUUAAUUUUCUUCAGACACUUAUAUCAUUUUGCAAUGCAAAUUAAUUACGGUAAACCUAAGUUUGAUUAAUUCCUGAGAGCUAGCUAGCUUCUGGUUAUAUAUAUAUAAUAACUAUUAAUUAACUAUUGAAGCAAAUAGUCUUUUAUAAAUAUAUAAAUGUCUUUUAUAAAUAUACCAAUGAGUUUAAUCUUAAAUUUUAUUGAAAUAUGAAAGUGAAUUCACGCAGCCCUUCAUACCCAAAAUGGAGUACCAAAAAUAAAAACAGAGACAAAAGUUAAACUAAAAAACAGCCGCAUGUACGUGAAGUCGUGGGUUCGUGGUCAUGGGUUCGAACCCCCACAUUGCAUUGUGGAGCUUUAAUUUUCUUCCUCAAUUUGAAUGAAGACAAUCUUUUUCCUUUUAAAAUGUGACUGGAGUAGACUUCCCUUAAAUAUUAAAGAGGAUAAAAAUCUGGGCGGACUUCAUAAAAAUUGAUGUAAAUUAGUUCCAGUAAUAAUCUGAUUUGUAAAUAUCAAUUGUAAUUCAUAUAAUAUGAGUUGUGCUCUUGAGCAAUAAUCUUGCGUAAUAAAAAAAACAUACCCGCACGCUAAAGCCAAAUUAACUUGAAAACAUACAUCAAGAAAUCUAAACAUUGCACACAGCUGAUAUAUUCUUCAUCUUCAGGAUAGCUAGGAUGUACGACUGCAGCCUCCUUCUGUGAAUAUAUUUGAAGUGUGCAAGCCUCACAUAAUUGAACAAGCGGCAAUAAUAUUUGCAAUGGGAAGUGCAGCUUCGAAAACUCUAAGUGCGACUUGCCAUGGAAACUAGAAAUCAAUAAAUAAUUUUAACAUGAAGAAAUUCACUAUCAGACUUUAGAUAGAUCAACAAGAAAUUCACUCCCAGAAUAUAUAAAAAUCAACACGGCUCCUCAGCACUAUAUCCAAAUUUAUAAAAAUGCUAUGCACCAAAUUAAAUAAUCGAGUAAUUAUUCAAAAUUAAUUAAUUAAAGUUUGGUCAAACUCACCCUUCCCACGACUGGGGUAUUUGAAUUGUAAGGAACAACUGCAAGAUUUGAAGGACUUUCUGAACGAUCGGGCCGACUCGUGGGGGUCCUGAUGCUUCCUGAAUGAUCGGGUCUACUCGUGGGGGUCCUGAUGCUUCUGAACAUUGAAGGACUAUCUGAAUGUUCGGGCCGACUCGUGGUAGUUCCUUGGGUGCUGAUGCUUCUGAACGUUGAAGGACUUUCUGAAUGAUCGGGCUGACUCGUGGCAAUCCCUUGGGUGCUGAUGCUUCUGAACAUUGACUGCAAUCAAUUGCAGGUCAAUACAAGUUUUAUAAAUAGGCAAUUAAUUUCAAAAAUUAAAAUCUUCAAUUAGUAUAUAGGUGAAUGUUUUUUUAGUGCGUUAUAUUUUGAAUUAAGUGUCAACCCCC